UACGUAGGUGGCAAGCGUUGUCCGGAUUUACUGGGCGUAAAGAGCGCGCAGGCGGUCGUUCAAGUCGCGUGUGAAAGCCCCCGGCUCAACUGGGGAGGGUCACGCGAUACUGAUCGACUCGAAGGCAGGAGAGGGAAGUGGAAUUCCCGGUGUAGUGGUGAAAUGCGUAGAUAUCGAGAGGAACACCAGUGGCGAAGGCGACUUCCUGGCCUGUUCUUGACGCUGAGGCGCGAAAGCUAGGGGAGCAAACGGG
rnacentral:rRNA from 1 species